rnacentral:rRNA from 1 species
UACGUAGGGCGCAAGCGUUGUCCGGAAUUAUUGGGCGUAAAGAGCUCGUAGGCGGCCAGUUGCGUCUGCUGUGAAAUCCCGGGGCUCAACCCCGGGCGUGCAGUGGAUACGGGCUGGCUAGAGGCAGGCAGGGGAGAACGGAAUUCCCGGUGUAGCGGUGAAAUGCGCAGAUAUCGGGAGGAACACCGGUGGCGAAAGCGGCUCACUGGACCAUUACUGACGCUGAUGCACGAAAGCUAGGGGAGCAAACAGG